AAGCCGGGAAUAAACCUCCCUCUCAGCAUAUAGAAAAUUCACAAGCUAAAACAAAAGAUACUUGAACGCAUUUCCUUGCUAUUACUUGCAUCUAAUAUUACAGAAAUAGCAUCAUUUCAUUAGGAACAGGAUUACUUGCUUAGUUUCUCCCUUUGUCUUUCCAGAGAACAGUCACAGAGCACAGAACAAAGCCUCUCCCCCGCCCCCCCCCCCCAAAUUUGAAAGUAUCUUCUUUCCCUAUUGGUCCCUCUGGUCAGGUGCCAACCAAGUUAUCUGAGCUUCUUAACCCUUUACAGGUAAAGAAGAGAUUUUAUGCUACCCUUCUUAGCUGUGUGUUUAUGACGGGGGGGUGUGUGUGGGAAAAGGGUCGGAAUGCAGGUCUGGGAGGGGGUGGGGGAGUGUGGUGCUUACCUGAGGCUCCUAGGCAGGGCAGGCCAGAGGUCUCCACGUGCAGCAACCCCCAGGCAUUGCCCCUGCAGCUUCCCAUUGGUCGCUUGGGGCGGGACACAGACCCACCCACCCAAGGGCUGCGAGAAGGGGCUGGCAGGGGGAUGUGGGGGGGGGGCACCCGGGGGCAGAAGGCGGGGCUGAGGGAGAGACCCUGCUUCAUACAGUACCGGAGCUGCCAUAGAGUACCAUAGAACUCGCCGCCCAUGGCAGCAUCACACACAGAUUCCCCCUGUCCCGUCACCCCAGCUUAAUGGAACUUGGGUACAUGGGAGCGGGACACCCCAACAUCAGCCUCCCCCCAGCCCACACAACAGAGAGGAGGACGCUUCCAGUCCGAGUGGCCGGGGGCUCCGGGGAGGAAGGAGGCGGGGGACAGGAGCAGUGGUGGCUGCACAGGGCAGUGGAGCAGUGGGGGGGAGGGGCACCCCUGCUCCUGAGAAGUCACCUGGCUCGACUGGUCGUCCAACUGCCCCUUGCAGCUCAGGUCCCUUCUCCCCACCCACCCACAAGUCCAGCCCUGGUCUCGUUCUCCUCCCUUCCCCUCCAGCAGCCUCACUCCCAGCACUCGGAGAUGAGGCUCUAUACCUCGAACUCCUGGGUGCUGGGGAUGGGGCGACAGACCGUGGGGUCGCUGCAGGGCAGGUGCCGCAGCUGGAGCCCGGCCACAGGACCAGCGCGAGGAGAAGAGGGCCGGCAGCAGCGGGAGAAGCGUGUGCCGUGACCCCUCAACAGCCGCCUGCUGAGCAAUCGCGAGUGGGGAUAGUUCGUCCCCUGCCCUGACCCGGCUGGCCACUGGGAGCUGUGCCUGCGGGCAGGAGGUGGGGGCAGUGUGCAGAACCCCCUGGCCGUCCCUAGGCCUAGGAGCCGGACAUGCUAGCUGCUUCCCCGGAGCCGCAUGGCGCGGAGGCUGGCUGGGAGCCUGCAAGCCCCGUCACCAGUCUACGGCCGGUUAGUGGUGUUGACUGGAGACUCCAGGAUCCCUUUUUGACAGACUGUUCUGGUCCAAAAUCAGACACCUGGUCACUCUAAUCGGCAAUCCAGCCCCCUGCCAAGGACAGGUGGAGAAUCCGGGGCUCUCUGCAGUGGCCCAGGCUCCCUGUGCAGGUGUUAUCACGGCCCUGCUUCUGGUCUGGCCAGGGGGCAGGACCUCAGAGGAAAGAGGCGGAGCAGGGGGUGUGGCAUUGGGGAGAGAAGGGAUGGGGUUCCUGCAAGUGUCCAACUUUUGCUUUUAGAAAAGGUGGUCACUGAGAGAUAGGGGCCGGCAGGAGAUUUACCCCAAAGAGCUGAGAAUUUACCAGGCAAAUGUCCACCCAGAAUCCCCCCCCCCACACACACACACACCCUGCUUCCAAUUUCAUAUUUGUGUUUAAAGACAAUCUCUUUAUUUGGGGGUCUGGCUCCUGGGCUGACAGCACUGAACAGGGGCUGGUCUGAUUUCUGCGCAGGAUUCCGUGUCCAACCAGAGUCACUGUGAGCCGCAAGGAGUGGAAUUGGGGUUUGGGUCGGGUUCAGUGGCAGUCGGUAUGUUCAAUUCUGGUUAGGGUUGGGAGUGAGCCCUGUGGCUUGCUUCAGUGGGGAACUGAAUUUGGGCAUGGGGCCUGCCUCAGGUGGAGGGAGGAGCUGCCCCAAUGGGUGGGGGCGGGUGAGAAGAGACUUGUCUUAAGUGGAAGAAGAAUUGAGCAGCCUUUUUCCUUGGCCUUGAAGAGUUAAUGUUAACUUCUGGGACAGGGAGCCCCCACUUCUCUCCCCCGUCUCUCCCUGCUCCUGUGGACUGCCCCCUUCUCUUCUCCUACUGGGACAGGCCGUUCCGGUAGCGAUCACAUGCCUGGGGGUUGUUUUGGUGUCUUCUUUUAUAAUGAGGGAGAUCAGAGUAGGUUUUAUUUUAUUUUGACAAAUAUUGAGCUGGAAAAUUGCUGAAACUUCAUUUCAACUGGCAGCCAUUUUUUCCCAAGUUCAAUUCAGAUUCAGGUUCGCUGAGGAAGAGGAAAAAUGAUGUUUUAAGUCUGGUUCCAGUUCAGUUAAGCAGAUCGGUUCGACCUGGUUCUGUUCUGGUGUGAGUCCAGGCUGAGGGAUCAUGUCCACCUGUCGCUCCAGAUCCUCCCGUCUUCCAGGGGACAGUGAAGGGAAAUGGCUGUGAUGGAGCCAGCUCAGAUGCCGGUGACCUUCGAGGAGGUGGCUGUAUAUUUCACCCAGGGAC